GCUUGCUUUGGCCACACAUAUACUAAAAUUGGAAUACAGAGAAGAUUAGCAUGACUCCUGCAUAAGAAUGCCAUGCAGGGAUCCCUGGGUGGCGCAGCGGUUU
rnacentral:snRNA from 1 species